AAGAAAUUAACUCAAUGGUAGAGUUUCCGUUUUACACACGGAGGGUUAAGUGUUCAAAUCACUUAUUUCUUA
rnacentral:tRNA from 2 species